rnacentral:rRNA from 1 species
CUGACGAGUGGCGAACGGGUGAGUAACACGUAGGAAUCUACCCAGAAGUGGGGGACAACCCGGAGAAAUCCGGGCUAAUACCGCAUACGCCCUAAGGGGUAAAGCGGGGGACCUUUUCGAAGGCCUCGCGCUUUUGGAUGAGCCUGCGUCGGAUUAGCUUGUUGGUGAGGUAAUGGCUCACCAAGGCAACGAUCCGUAGCUGGUCUGAGAGGAUGACCAGCCACACUGGGACUGAGACACGGCCCAG